GUUUCCGUAGAGUAGUGGUUAUCACGUUCGCCUCACACGCGAAAGGUCCCCAGUUCGAAACUGGGCGGGAACA